GGAGUUUGAGCCUGAGCUAAGUAAGUCGUAGCAAGGUAGAGUUAGUUCCUCGCUGAGACGGGUGAGUAAUGCCUAGGAAUCUGCCUGGUAGUGGGGGACAACGUUUCGAAAGGAACGCUAAUACCGCAUACGUCCUACGGGAGAAAGCAGGGGACCUUCGGGCCUUGCGCUAUCAGAUGAGCCUAGGUCGGAUUAGCUAGUUGGUGGGGUAAAGGCCUACCAAGGCGACGAUCCGUAACUGGUCUGAGAGGAUGAUCAGUCACACUGGAACUGAGACACGGUCCAGACUCCUACGGGAGGCAGCAGUGGGGAAUAUUGGACAAUGGGCGAAAGCCUGAUCCAGCCAUGCCGCGUGUGUGAAGAAGGUCUUCGGAUUGUAAAGCACUUUAAGUUGGGAGGAAGGGCAGUAAGUUAAUACCUUGCUGUUUUGACGUUACCAACAGAAUAAGCACCGGCUAACUUCGUGCCAGCAGCCGCGGUAAUACGAAGGGUGCAAGCGUUAAUCGGAAUUACUGGGCGUAAAGCGCGCGUAGGUGGUUUGGUAAGAUGGAUGUGAAAUCCCCGGGCUCAACCUGGGAACUGCAUCCAUAACUGCCUGACUAGAGUACGGUAGAGGGUGGUGGAAUUUCCUGUGUAGCGGUGAAAUGCGUAGAUAUAGGAAGGAACACCAGUGGCGAAGGCGACCACCUGGACUGAUACUGACACUGAGGUGCGAAAGCGUCACCCCUCGUUUGUCCUAAUCUAUGGGACCAUCAGGUGCGGCAUUUGCUACAGCUGAUCGGCAACCUUAGGAACUCUAAAAUCACCGCGUCGAUUGCGCUAUUCAGCUGGCGGACCCCUCAUGCCGGCGUUCCAAUUUUGAGUUUACUUAACUGCCCCCGGGCGUGUUCGCCACCUCGUACACCAAAUUAAGCUUCGUUGCGCUUCUUGGAAUGGACCGGAACUGUACAGGCCUUGGAACGUCUCUACGCUCCCACGGAAGCCCUUAGCCUUGUGUCCACGACGUACCGACAGCAGUCGAGCACAGCACUCUACAACCCAAUUCAGGGCAUUGCUCGCGUUGGGAACAGGAAUCAAUGGUCGUGGAGCCCACCCGUGAGAUUCCUCUGACGGCCACUGUUUGGCCUCCUUCCACCCCUACUGCAGUUCAGUAGUACCGGGAAUGCCGGUCCCGAUGUGUGCACGAUGUUACCAGCCAUGUCUCCCAACGGUUCGGCGCUCCACCUCGAUUAGGGUAUUUUGGCUAGCAUCAGGCCUAGCGUCAGACGUUGAGCUGACGCACUUCAGCCUUAGCGAUCAUUAGCACUUAGUCUUACAGCGCCACUUAUGCUUCAGCCUGGAUCAAGUGCAGGGAGGAAGGGAGUCAUCCAACCUAGAUCGAUCUAUAUCAGCACGGAGGGGUUCGCCUGU
rnacentral:rRNA from 1 species